CUGCGGAGGGAUCAUUACAGAGACUCUGCCCUUUGGGUAGACCUCCCACCCUGUGUCGUUAUACCUCUGUUGCUUUGGCGGGCCGCGGGGCUCCGGCCCCGCCCCUGGCUCCGGCUAGGGCGCGCCCGCCAGAGGACUACCAAACCUGAAUGUUAGUGUCGUCUGAGUACUAUGUAAUAGUUAAAACUUUCAACAACGGAUCUCUUGGUUCUGGCAUCGAUGAAGAACGCAGCGAAAUGCGAUAAGUAAUGUGAAUUGCAGAAUUCAGUGAAUCAUCGAAUCUUUGAACGCACAUUGCGCCCCUUGGUAUUCCGGGGGGCAUGCCUGUUCGAGCGUCAUUACAACCCUCAAGCUCUGCUUGGUCUUGGGCGUCACCGGUCCCCGGUGUGCCUUAAACUCAGUGGCGGCGCCGUCUGGCUCUAAGCGUAGUACAUACUCUCGCUACAGACGCCCGGCGGAUGCUGGCCAGCAACCCCCAAUCUAUCAAGGUUGACCUCGGAUCAGGUAGGGAUACCCGCUGAACUUAAGCAUAUCA
rnacentral:rRNA from 1 species